rnacentral:rRNA from 1 species
UACGUAGGGUCCGAGCGUUGUCCGGAAUUAUUGGGCGUAAAGGGCUCGUAGGCGGUCCGUCACGUCGGGAGUGAAAACUCGGAGCUCAACUCCGAGCCUGCUUCCAAUACGGGCAGACUAGAGGUAGGCAGGGGAGAGCGGAACUCCUGGUGUAGCGGUGGAAUGCGCAGAUAUCAGGAAGAACACCCGUGGCGAAGGCGGCUCUCUGGGACGGUACUGACGCUGAGACGCGAGAGCGUGGGGAGCGAACAGG